UACGUAGGUGGCAAGCGUUGUCCGGAAUUAUUGGGCUUAAAGCGCGCGCAGGCGGCCUCUUAAGUCUGAUGUGAAAGCCCCCCGGCUCAACCGGGGGGCAGGCUUGGAAACUGGGAGGCUUGAGUAUAGGAGAGAAGAGUGGAAUUCCACGUGUAGCGGUGAAAUGCGUAGAGAUGUGGAGGAACACCAGUGGCGAAGGCGACUCUUUGGCCUAUAACUGACGCUGAGGCGCGAAAGCGUGGGGAGCAAACAGG
rnacentral:rRNA from 1 species